rnacentral:rRNA from 1 species
CGAACGCUGCGGCGCGUCUUAAACAUGCAAGUCGACCGUAAGGAAGGAGCUUGCUCCUUUCUGAGAGUGGCGGACUGGUGAGUAACACGUGGGUGACAUACCUUUUAGAUGGGAUAGCUAUUAGAAAUAGUAGGUAAUACCGAAUGUGACCGUAUCUGUUAGAGGGAUACGAGGAAAGGAGCUAAGGCUUCGCUAAAAGAAUGGCCCGCGGCCCAUUAUGCUUGUUGGUGAGGUAACGGCCCACCAAGGCGAUGAUGGGUAUCCGGCCUGAGAGGGUGGACGGACACAUUGGGACUGAGAUACGGCCCAGACUCUACGGGAGGCAGCAGUUAAGAAUAUUCCGCAAUGGACGAAAGUCUGACGGAGCGACGCCGCGUGGAUGAAGAAUGCCGAAAGGUUGUAAAAUCCUUUUAAGCCUGAAGAAUAAGCACAGUAGGGAAUGAUUGUGUGGUGACUGUAGGGCUUGAAUAAGC